rnacentral:rRNA from 1 species
GCGUAACACGUAUGUAACCUACCUUUGUCAGGGGGAUAGCCUCUCGAAAGAGAGAUUAAGACCGCAUAACAUCAUUUAAUGGCAUCAUUGAAUGAUCAAAUAUUUAUAGGACAAAGAUGGGCAUGCGGAACAUUAGCUAGUUGGUGUGGUAACGGCAUACCUAGGCUACGAUGUUUAGGGGAUCUGAGAGGAUGGCCCCCCACACUGGUACUGAGACACGGACCAGACUCCUACGGGAGGCAGCAGUAAGGAAUAUUGGUCAAUGGACGGAAGUCUGAACCAGCCAUGCCGCGUGCAGGAAGACGGCCCUAUGGGUUGUAAACUGCUUUUGCAGGGGAAUAAACCCCCGAUCGUGAUCGGGGCUGAAUGUACUCUGAGAAUAAGGAUCGGCUAACUCCGUGCCAGCAGCCGCGGUAAUACGGAGGAUCCAAGCGUUAUCCGGAUUUAUUGGGUUUAAAGGGUGCGUAGGUGGUUUACUAAGUCAGGGGUGAAAGACGGCAGCUUAACUGUCGCAGUGCCUUUGAUACUGAUGAACUUGAAUGAACUAGAGGUAGGCGGAAUGUGACAAGUAGCGGUGAAAUGCAUAGAUAUGUCACAGAACACCAAUUGCGAAGGCAGCUUACUAUGGUUUGAUUGACACUGAGGCACGAAAGCGUGGGGAUCAAACAGGAUUAGAUACCCUGGUAGUCCACGCCCUAAACGAUGAAUACUCGAUGUUGGCGAUAUACGGUCAGCGUCUAAGCGAAAGCGUUAAGUAUUCCACCUGGGGAGUACGCCCGCAAGGGUGAAAC